UACGUAGGGACCAAGCGUUGUCCGGAAUCAUUGGGCGUAAAGCGCGCGUAGGUGGCUUCAUAAGUCCGUUGUGAAAGUCAAAGGCUCAACCUUUGAAAGCCGAUGGAUACUGUGGAGCUAGAGUACGGAAGAGGCGAGUGGAAUUCCUGGUGUAGCGGUGGAAUGCGCAGAUAUCAGGAGGAACACCAAUAGCGAAGGCAGCUCGCUGGGACGUUACUGACACUAAGGCGCGAAAGCGUGGGGAGCGAACAGG
rnacentral:rRNA from 1 species